AGGCCAGCUGGAGGGGCAGGUUGCUUGGCAGCAGCUGCACAGGGAGCAGGUAGGGCCCACUGGCCGCUGCAGGCUUUUGCAAAGAAGGGAUUGAUCGUGUCUCAGGGGCCGCUUGGUUUUCCUGUCCAGGCAGCAGGGAGCAAACAAACCCCCCAGCCGUUCUCCUGCUCUGACGUCAAUUAAAGGCUCCGACAGGUCCGCGACGUCAGCCAAGAUGUAUUGCAAACAGAUGGAAAGCCCUUGAAAAGUCUAUUCCUCGCGGAAGGGAACUAAUAUACAGUGUCUCCUUCAGGCUGGCGCUCAGGCCGCCUGGUGCAGGGGGCUGUUUACUCGCCAUGGAGAGGCCUCAGGGCUCCCACUGCCUUUUCUGUCUGAGGAUUUCUAUGCUCUAGCCAGCGCUGCACAAAAUCAGGUCUGCGGCUGAAAAAAAUCUGCUCCAGCAGACGAGGCAUGUCACUGCAGUGUGGGAGGAGAGAGAGAGAACAUGGCUGUGUCCAAACGGAGGAUAUUUCCAAAAUUACCCCACUCAGACCUCCUUUUACCACAGGGGUUAACAGCAGCAUGAAGCCACAGAGCAUUCACCAGGAAUGGAGUGUGGUCUGCAGCUCAAAGCCCUGCACCGGCUUGGCUCCCACUGAGAUGUGAAGGUGCCCGGGUCAGCACCAGAGGUGUUUCUUUGGUGCAAAUACAACAGGGAUCAGAUUAGAAGACUUGUGCCAAAACCAAAGAGGGAGCCAGCCAACGCCCAAGGGGCUGAACCAACCUGCCAGUCAGAGCAGUGAGAGUUGGGG